rnacentral:rRNA from 1 species
UACGUAGGGGGCAAGCGUUAUCCGGAUUUACUGGGUGUAAAGGGAGCGUAGGCGGCGCGUUAAGUCUGAUGUGAAAACCCGAGGCUCAACCACGGGAGUGCAUUGGAAACUGGCGUGCUGGAGUGCCGGAGAGGUAAGCGGAAUUCCUAGUGUAGCGGUGAAAUGCGUAGAUAUUAGGAGGAACACCAGUGGCGAAGGCGGCUUACUGGACGGCAACUGACGCUGAGGCUCGAAAGCGUGGGGAGCAAACAGG